rnacentral:sRNA from 1 species
GCUGGAGGCCAAGGUCAAGUUGAAAGUUGUUGUCUAGC